CCUACGGGAGGCAGCAGUGAGGAAUAUUGGUCAAUGGGCGUAAGCCUGAACCAGCCAAGUCGCGUGAGGGAUGAAGGUUCUAUGGAUCGUAAACCUCUUUUAUAAGGGAAUAAAGUGUGGGUCGUGUCCUGUUUUGUAUGUACCUUAUGAAUAAGGAUCGGCUAACUCCGUGCCAGCAGCCGCGGUAAUACGGAGGAUCCGAGCGUCAUCCGGAUUUAUUGGGUUUAAAGGGUGCGUAGGCGGCCUUUUAAGUCAGCGGUGAAAGUCUGUGGCUCAACCAUAGAAUUGCCGUUGAAACUGGGAGGCUUGAGUAUGUUUGAGGCAGGCGGAAUGCGUGGUGUAGCGGUGAAAUGCUUAGAUAUCACGCAGAACCCCGAUUGCGAAGGCAGCCUGCCAAGCCAUGACUGACGCUGAUGCACGAAAGCGUGGGGAUCAAACAGGAUUAGAUACCCCGGUAGUC
rnacentral:rRNA from 1 species